rnacentral:rRNA from 1 species
UACGAAGGGGACUAGCGUUGUUCGGAAUCACUGGGCGUAAAGCGCACGUAGGCGGAUUUGUAAGUCAGGGGUGAAAUCCCGGGGCUCAACCUCGGAACUGCCUUUGAUACUGCGAGUCUUGAGUCCGAUAGAGGUGGGUGGAAUUCCUAGUGUAGAGGUGAAAUUCGUAGAUAUUAGGAAGAACACCGGUGGCGAAGGCGGCUUGCUGGACGAUCACUGACGCUGAGGCUCGAAAGCGUGGGGAGCAAACAGG